rnacentral:tRNA from 1 species
GGAGGGUUAGGCUAACGGUAAGUCAGCGGACUUGAAAUCCGCCGUCCUUUUCGGACAUGGGGGUUCAAAUCCCUCACCCUCCG